CAGGGUGGACUCACUGCAGUCACCAGCCUGGGUGCACUGGCAGGGCCACCCCUGUGUCUACAGAGCUUUCCUCUGUCUCACACACAGCCCAGCCCUUUCUAAGGAAGGCUUGGACAGCGGGGAGAGGGAGAGCAGGUUUUACCGCUGGUCAGCAGCUGCCUUCCUCCCUUUACCCCCAACGGCCUGGGACACUGGCACAACCAAGCAGAGGGCAGGAGGACUGGCACGGGGGUCUGGAUGUUUUUCUCCUUUUGAACAUUUCCAAAAUUUUCCACAUGAGCAUGUAUUUCUUUUCAAAUCAGAAAGCACAACUGCACAUCAGAAGGUGUGUGCAGCUGGGGGAACACGGGGCCAACCGGCCUCCUCCCUUGCACGCUCUGCCCCAGCAGCCUCUGGGCUAUCCCUGGCACCCAACAAUGAGCCGUGUGGGCCGCCUGAGCCCCCUCCAGGUCAUUCCAACUGCUCUGGAAUCAGCAGGCUGGGUUGGUGAGAAAUUCUGGCUAACAAUGCCACUGUUAGUUUUUCAAAAUCAUCAGUUUAAUUUUCAAAGAGAAGACUCUGUAUAAUAAAUGUAACUCUUAAAAUAUGAUACAAGCUGGGCAUGGUGGCUCACGCCUGUACUCUCAUCACUUUGGGAGGCCAAGGAGGGUGGAUCCCCUGAGGUCAGGAGUUUGUGACCAGCCUGGCCAACCUGAUGAAACCCUGUCUCUGCUAAAAAUACAAAAAUUAGCUAGGUGUGGUAAUGCACGCCUGUAAUCUCAGCUACUCAAAAGGCUGAGGCAGGAGAAUUGCUUGAACCAGGGAGGUGGAGGUUACAGUGACUUGAGAUCGCACCCCUGCACUCUAGCCUGGGCGACAGAGUGAGACUCCAUCUCAAAACAACAACAACAAACACAGAAGGAAAUACACCAAAAUAUGGGGAGUUGCUUCUGGGCUUCAAGGUUAUGAGUAAUUUGUAUCUUUAUGUUUUCUACAUAGUCCAAGUUUUCUAUGAUAAGCAUAAAAUACUCUUACAAUCUGAAAAAAAAGGUAUCAUUAGAAAAAACACCUUUGUGACACCCACUUUCAUCUUUCCCUGAGGCGUGGAACCUUCAGGAAGCACACUGCCCCACGGCACCAGGGACAGCCACUUCCCUUGCGCAGGACAACGUCCUAACUCACCACCCCUGGCCUGAGCUGCGUCCCUUUCCUCCCCUGCCUCUCUGUUUGAAAGAGAUUAUCUAUGAAGGGUCAGCCUGCCUCCUCCCAAAGUGAACAUGCUUGUCCAGGUCUGUGUGGGCCCACAGCCCCUCAGCUGGUCUGCCCAGACUCGACGGACAUCAGCUCAGGGGCAUGGGCCACUCUGACUGCAGGCCACAUUACAGUCUCCAGCUUUGCCUCAGGGAAACUGCCUCUCAGCUGAACCCAGGAUCGAUGUCUCAGUUUGGAUCAGAACCCAGCAGGGAAGCAGGAUGUAUAGUUACCACUUGGAGAUACCAACACAAGCCAAAGAGAAUGAAAAUGGCUUGGUCUGUUAAAUAUCCCAUGUUAAGUCCAGAAACAGUGUCUAAAAUGAGAAGGCCACCAGCAAAACAGAAACUGAAAUUUCCCAACAGCAUCACCAGCGUUAGGUUUGGUAAGAUUUUAGUUGUUCAGUUAGCAAGCAGCAUUACAAGCUGCUCAACCCUCCAGAGGCUGUUCUAAGCCUCACACAGACCCACCUCUUCUGUCCGCCAAGCACCGGCGAAGCAGCUUCACAGCCUCGCGACGGCCCUGCUUCGCGGCGAGGACCAGCCAGUCCACAGCGGUGCAGCUGUUGAGUUCUUCAUCCGUGUCGCCGGCCAACUGCAGGUAGUGCUUCCCCACCUGCAAGCCAGACACCAGUCAGCCUCCAGAUUCUCCGACCCUCUCCCACCCCAUGCUCCCUGCCAGCCCACCUCCUUUCACCCACUUCCCUUUGUCACCCAGGCCAGGAAGGAAGGGGCAGAAAUGGGGUCACACCAGGCAUGUCCACUAGGCUAGGCCCUACUGAGCCUCCGGCCACUCGCUCCUCAAAACACGGUGAGGAAGGUGUGGCCACCCCAUCCACACGGCGAGGGAGACACGGGCUCCGACUGGUACUGGUACAGGUUCUCUUCCUUGAGUUGCUCCUGCCUGCCAAGGCUCACCAUCAAUGCAUGGAAAUCAGAACCAUGACUGGGUCCUUUACACCUCUCAAAACAGUCAGGGGACCAUAGAAAGCCAGGGCUGGAGAGACGCCAGCUAACCAAGGGUUAGCACUGGCCCACUGCCUGUUUUUGCAAAUAAAGUUUUAUUGAAAUACAACCAUAACCAUUCAUUUACAUGUUGUCCAUGCUGCUUUUACGUGCUCCACAGCAAAGCUGAGCAACACGGCAGAGAUUGCGCAGAGUCCAGAAUAUUCACUAUCUGGCCCUUUGCAAAAAGAAUCCCUGCUGAAAUGGUCCAGUCUUCUCAUUCUACAGAUGGAAAAAGUGAGGCCCAGGGCACAGAGAGCCCAUAAAAGGGCUUACUAUGCUCCCCCCGCCUCCAAAUGCCUGGGCAAAAGGAUGUGGGAGGAACUUUAAAGUACAAUAUGGCUGUGAGGUCAGGAAAGAAAUUUUUUUUUUUUUUUUUUUGAGACAGAGUCUUGCUCUGUUGCUCAGUUGGGAGCGUGGUGGUGCGAUCUCGGCUCACUGCAACCUCCACUUCCUGGGUUCAAGUGAUUUUCCUGUCUCAGCCUCCCAAGUAGCUGGGAUUACAGGCAUGCACCACCAUGUCUGGCUAAUUUUUCUAUUUGUAGUGGAGACACGGUUUCAUCAUGUUGGCCAGGCUGGUCACGAACUCCUGACCUCAGGUGAUCCACCCGCCUCAGCCUCCCAAAGUGCUGGGAUUACAGGCGUGAGCCACCGCUCCCAGCCAGAAAUUCUUAAUUUAUGGUUUCGCGUGGAAGCUUUUCUCCUCUUUAGGGAGAAGAGGGGGCAGGAAACUGCUCAGGAUAACUGUGGUCACUUGCUUGAGCCCUUCUUGUCUACUUGGGUUUUUUGGGUCUGCUUCUUCCACUAACCUGUCACCCAUGAAGAGAGGGCCACAUCAUGUCCCCAGCACUGGCACAAAGCCCAGCCCUUGGCUGAUGCCCAAGUGAAUGGUCACCGCUCUGAGGGCCCCGUGCACACAGCUAACAGCCAGGUGAAAGGCCAGUCAGGGAGACAAGAGUGGGCAGCAUACACAGUGUAUGUUGAGGGGUGGCACUGAGCAGGCAGCUGCAGGAAGCCAGGAGGUCAUCCUGGAGGAGGUGAUGCCCAAGAUGAGGUGUGAGUUGGACAAAAGGGGGAUGAGCGCUGCUCCCCAGAGGAGUGCCAGGAGGAAAACUGGCACAGUGAACAUGGGCACCCUACCAACAUGGGGCUCAAGUGGGGUAGGGUGCACCACGCUGGCUCCUGACCCCGAUCUCAGGCACCGACACUUCUCUGUGGGCUGUGGAGCUCGUGGCCAGGCCUGUUGUGCCGGGGGCCGCGUCCCGAAGUCCCUGCCGGCACCGCAGUCCUCACCUCAGUCUGUGCCUUGGGGUCCCCGGCCUUGGCCCUCUCCAGGACUUCUUCAAAGGGGAUUUCCAUGUCUCCCUUUGUAGGCCCUUUAACACAGAAGAAACAAACACACAUGUCACAAAGCCAGACUUUGUCACUUGUCAGGAUGGAGGGGACAAGGCAUGAGGGUCUUCAGAUCUGCUGCUGCUUGUCACUUUCAAAUCCAGGCCAGGAGUACAGAGAGACACAGACACAGACAGGGAAGAUGCCCAGAAAGCCACUGUUUGCCUUCCGGUCACAAGCAGCGCCAGAGCAAGAUGAGCAAACUCUAUGCGGGUGAGGUGGUUCAACAGCAACUCAAAGCGCUCGGGGUGGGAGGCAUGGGAAGGAGGCGAGCACAGAGCCAAGUCCCACCAUCACACCCCUUGGCCUAGGCCUGCUCUAGCUGGGGCUCUAGAAAGAUCCAAGGACUCAAGUUUGACAGCCCAUGACCUAAAUAAUACAAAGCACCUGUACCCGAAGCCCAGAACCCCAACAAAUCAAGUUCAUGUUUUCCAUGAUUGUACCAACAAAAACCACAUUUUUUGGAUAUUAUAAUCAGUGUA
rnacentral:lncRNA from 1 species